rnacentral:rRNA from 1 species
CCAGACUCCUACGGGAGGCAGCAGUGAGGAAUAUUGGUCAAUGGUCGGGAGACUGAACCAGCCAAGCCGCGUGAGGGAUGAAGGUACAGAGUAUCGUAAACCUCUUUUGUCAGGGAACAAAGGCGGGGACGCGUCCCCGGAUGAGUGUACCUGAAGAAAAAGCAUCGGCUAACUCCGUGCCAGCAGCCGCGGUAAUACGGAGGAUGCGAGCGUUAUCCGGAUUUAUUGGGUUUAAAGGGUGCGCAGGCGGUGUGAUAGGGCGGCGCAAAACGCCGGGGCCCCCCCCCCGCCCCGCCGUUGAAACUGGCAGUCUCGAGUUGGAGAGAAGUAUGCGGAAUGCGCGGUGUAGCAGUGAAAUGCAUAGAUAUCGCGCAGAACUCCGAUUGCGAAGGCAGCAUGCCGGCUCCACACUGACGCUGAGGCACGAAAGCGUGGGUAUCGAACAGGAUUAGAUACCCCUGUAG